rnacentral:misc_RNA from 1 species
CGAGCAAACGAACCAGGGGUAACGCCAUGUUUAUACUGUAGGUAGUUUGUCGCGCGGAGUGUUCAGGUAUAUGUGUCGAUUAUAAUUUUUCGUGUAAUAAUAUUUGCUCCUAUAUCUAUGUAGUGCAACGCGAUCGGAAUACGAUUCACGAGCCACGUGUCUCCGUGGCGUAUGACGAAUUACGCAGUUCCGUGACGGUGCCGCGCGUGUAUUUUGUCUUGAUCGCGCGUAUAGAACUGCAUCUCCCUCUUACACUACACCCGCAGCUAGAUGUUCUUCACCUCGCUUCUGCAGAAAUUGUUUAGACUCACGCGAUUAGGCAGCCGUGCGAUACACAAGACGUGCUAUUCGUUCUAAGAUCGCGAUUGGUCUCGCGGCAGUCGCACUGCGAUCAAACGAAUGCACGCUAUGCCACGGUUAGCGUGAGCAUCUGCGUGUUUUAUAACCUGACAACACAAUCGAGUUCUUCGUCCUGUGUAUCUUUAUCAUGUCGCUGUAUCUUUGACGAAACAUUCAGGCGUGAAGUGUGUCUUUAGAAACGAAUACUUGAUUAGAGGAUAUUAAGAUGUGGCCGACACAAAGUAACAAUUCUAAUACAAACUCGGCAUCAAGUGAAAAGAAUUUACGUACUCUGGGCAUGACAUCUGCUAUCAGUGUAGCUGAGCCCAAGCCCCUUGAUAUCGCUAGAACCAACGAAUUGAAAGAGGCCCUUAAACCCUACAAUGUUUUUGAAUCUGAAGAAGAGUUGAAUCAUAGGAUGGAGAUUUUAAGUAAAUUGAAUGCAUUGGUUAAACAAUGGAUAAGGGAUACAAGCAUAGCUAGAAAUAUGCCACCUAAUGUGGCUGAACAAGUCGGUGGUAAAAUAUACACAUUUGGCUCAUAUAGGCUAGGUGUACAUCACAAGGGUGCCGAUAUUGAUGCACUAUGUGUUGUACCACGUCACAUUUAUAGAUCAGAUUAUUUUAAUUCCUUUUUCGAAUUAUUGAAGAUGCAAGAAGAAGUUACAGAUUUAAGAGCAGUGGAAGAAGCCUUUGUACCAGUCAUUAAGAUGAAUUUUGAUGGUAUAGAAAUUGAUAUGCUAUUUGCAAAAUUAACUCUUAAAGAAAUUCCAGAUUCAAUGGAUCUCAGGGAUGACAUGCUACUCAAAAAUCUUGAUCAAAAAUGCGUACGGAGUCUUAACGGUUGCAGAGUAACGGAUGAAAUAUUGCGUUUAGUACCUAAUAUAGAAAAUUUCAGACUAGCCCUUAGAGCUAUAAAAUUAUGGGCAAAACGGCAUGGCAUAUAUAGCAAUGUAUUAGGUUACCUUGGUGGUGUAUCAUGGGCGAUGUUAGUCGCUCGAACAUGUCAACUUUAUCCCAAUGCUGUGGCUGCUACUUUAAUAGAAAAAUUUUUUCUCGUAUUCUCUCAGUGGAAGUGGCCUCAACCGGUACUUUUAAAACAACCCGACAAUGUCAAUUUAGGUUAUCCGGUUUGGGAUCCAAGAGUUAAUAUAUCAGAUAGGUAUCAUUUGAUGCCUAUAAUUACGCCAGCGUAUCCUCAACAAAAUUCCACUUUCAACGUAUCUGUAUCAACCAGAACCAUUAUGCAAGAAGCAUUUGAGAACGGAUUAUCCAUAACCGAGGAGAUUAUCAUGGGCAAGGCGAAUUGGGACAAAUUGUUUGAACCGCCAAACUUCUUUAGCAAAUACAAACACUAUAUUGUGUUGUUAGCUAGAAGUUCAACUGCGGAAGAUCAAUUGGAAUGGUGUGGUCUCGUGGAGUCGAAAAUACGGCAUUUGAUAGGUACGUUGGAAAGGAAUCCUCAUAUUAACUUGGCGCAUGUUAAUCCUGAAGCAUUUCCACCAUUGGACCCAGAACCGGACAAGCAUUGUUCUAUGUGGUUCAUUGGUCUGCUAUUCGCUAAAAGCGAGAAUCUCAAUAUCGACCUCACAUAUGAUAUAAAGUCCUUCGUGGAGACAAUUGAGAGACAAGCGGAACAAAUAAAUAUGCUGAAAGAGGGUAUGUGGAUAGAGGCUAAACACGUAAAAAGGAAGGAUUUGCAUACUUAUGUGUCUCCGAGUUUGCUGAAAAAAGAGCGAAAGGUUUCCGGCGGUGUGCAUCGAAACGGCAGCAUUGCUGGGAACGGGAACAGUGGUAGCGUGUCACCCAGAAAUCCAGGCGAUACAACGGGCAGAAAGCGACUCUCAGAUCAGGGGAUUGAUGCGUGUGGGAAGAAACGGCGAGUCAAUGAAGUGGAAGAGCAAGUGGAGAACUCAUCGAUAGUAGUACAAUCUUGCGGAGAAGAUAGUAAUUCUGACUUCAACUUGGACGAGUACAAACAGAGCCUAUCGACUACUAAAGAUGAAGGACCUACCGGUGCGUCCACAGUAGCACAGGAGGGAUUCGUAUGCACUUGACCACUGCAAAAUUACUAUCUCACACCAAUCCACAGAUGCUCCUCUGGACCAUCUAGACUGUAAACAUUUCUCACGCAACCAUCUACUGCCCACUGAAUUAACGUAAGACCACCGCUGUGACAAAUGUAUCGCCUUGACCGAGUCGUCACCUGGAACGAUCAGUAAGCAAGUACGAGUCUACAUUGCGUGCGGUUAAAAAGUCCUAAUAACCCGUUCGCGCAGAGUGUCAAGACUAUCAUGCCGGCCUGCGUGCAGUGACGAUUAGAGAGACCAUUCCGUUACUUAUGUAUAUAUAUAUUUGUAGGUGUGCCGAGGCGACAGCUUCUUUUCCACUCUUUUAUGUUCUCCGUUUUAUCGAGUCGUCGUUUUAUUUAUUGAUCAGCGCCUGUAUCCUGCGCAUCCUUACCGAGAUCGAUUCGGUGCGGCUGUUGCGCGAUAUGACUGCACCCGAGCCGACGGUUGUCGAUAAGCAUGUGCGAGAUGCAGACUUCUAGAGACGCAUUUGAGGAGGAGACACUGUUAGCGCUAUCAACGCGAACGCUAAUGAUCCGCGGAGCUAUAAUAGCGCGAUAGAACAAUGGCGAGUUCCGCAAACGGCGCUAGCGUGUUACAGCGUCGUUCCCGCGUCGUUCAAACACUUCUCUAGUUUUAACAUCUCGGAGAUUUAUCUCGACUCGGUUGUCCUCCCAUUAGGUGCAUAAAUGACAAUAAAAUAAUAAAUACGAUUCACCGGCAUCAUUUGACGAUCACGCGCAGUUUACAGCGCAGCAGUAUACUUUGGGCGUUCGCGAAGAAGCUUGUAAACGCUAACGCUACUUCGGAAGCGUGUGACGUACACACACGCUAUCAUCGGUGAAGCUAUGAUAUAGCGUUUGUUAGCGCUGCGCGAACAAGCCUGUAGCGCUAAAUAGCGCUAACAGCGUCCUCCCGAGCAGGAGUACCGCGCAGGAGUUGCAUGCUUUCCUCUGUGUACUUCGAAACAGCAUCGAUGCUGCCCCCCUUCCGUCAUUUUCCCGCGGAUUCGCGAUAAUUUCACGCUCUAAUCAAAGAUUAAAAUGUAUGUAUACUACUCGGGAGCGAAGCGGCUUGAACGGUUUUGGACAUUUCUUCCUGGAUGCACCUGGAAACGCGGCUCCGACGCGAAAAAUUUGUUUCCAGAAAAUUUCCAAAAUGUUCAGCCCCGUCGUUGGACAGCCGCUGGCUGUCGCCGAAUUGCGUAAAGAAAAAUCUUCGAACCGUCUCGCUCACGACUAAACAUACAGCAGCAAGGACGCGCCUGCGAUCUAUCGAUGAUUCAUUCUUGUUUCUAACAAGCAUCAAUAUCGACGUAACGCGACGCCAGCGACAAGAGACACGGCCGUGUUUCUCGAUCAUUAUCCGCGAGACCGAAUUAUUGGAAAUUAACGGAAUCGCAGAAUAUCCGUAAAUUUAUUUCGGCAAGUGUCCCAAGUAGAUUCUACACUCGAAAGGAAGAAGGGAGAAGAGAUUAUACUUCUAUAUUUUUCGUAGUUUCGAUCAGCAGUAAAAAAUUGAGACUCGAUUCGCCGGAUGAGAUUCGAGAUCUAUUUGUGCGAAUAUAAUAAUUAUUUCGUUAUGUGCAAGAGACAUAAUAUAUAUAAAAUAAAAUUACGUAUUGCAGUCUCCACCACUUUUAUAUGUCGAUACUUGUACUCGAGACGCAGUCGUAAAUUUUGAAUCUAUUCGUCCGCAAGACCUUCUUCCAAAGUUGCACUUUUUGUGCGAGAAAAAAAGAUGUUAAUUUGUCUUUUUGUCGAGACAUUAAUCAACAUUACGAUACUCGCCGAAUAAUAUUCUCAAAAUUAGACGCGCCAUCUGAUUCCGUCAGUUCGUAGAUACAUUUACGCAGCAGUUACAUAAAUAGUUCAAGAGUCGAGAAACGACAAUACGAAAUAAUGCAAAGAACGAAUUUCCAUGAGUAUGUCUUAUAUUUCACGGACGUUUUGAAAAUAUAUUCAGUGUAAUGUUAUUUGCCAUCGAGCACAAUUUGGGGGAAUUACUGUUGCCGAGUUUGUUACUCACUUGUUACUCACGUAUAGUCUCUUCUAAAUUCUCGUCGCGCUGUUUUCGAUUCUCUCCACCUUCGUAUUUGUAUUUCGUACUUCGCUCAUUCUGCGAAGUACGAAAUUUUGUCCGAUCCCGAAACGACAAAAUUCUCGCAUUCAUCGGAAGGAUCGUUUUUGUCCGCGCCCACGUAAACCUCGUCGUUGUUGGACAAAAACGGUGCAUACAAGUGCAAAAGUUUCUCGAAUUGAUACGGCUGAUACACUCUCUCUCUAUUUGACGAUAAAAAGAGCGUGCCGUGUUGCUCGUCCCCAGGACGAAGGACUUUAUCGAAUCGAUUUACGCUUUACGUAUAAUCGCAGGGUCAGCAGGAAUAUAACCUGCGGAGCCGCGUGAUUUGUGUUUUUAGAACCGAGCAAACCGUCGUAUACAAAUCACCGUUCAAUACGUUAUUUUCUUUUUCUCUUUUUUUUUUUUUUUUUUUUUCUUUCUUACCGAAAUGCAGAGUCAUCAUUUUUUAGUCAGAGAACGAAACGGGUUGAUCGAGAACCUCGCAGAUAAAAUGCGACGAGGAAACGUCCACGCUGUUGUGAACGACGCGUAAUUUGCGUACUUGUCCCGCGAAGCAAUUGUCAACAUUUCCUCGCACGUUGUUUAUUCAUACCGAGUAUUUACGUCACCCGUCGUAUCGUCAUCGGGUCAUUUUAUAUCAGCAUUUGAUCAGCUCUCGAUCGCCUUGAAUAAACGCCAUGGCAUUCGGAUUCUGUCGCAGAGAUUUCGUUUCUUUCAUUUUUUCACGCAAUUAGCACAGCCCGAUCUCCCCCGCCAUUUGCCGAUAUUUAUCGCAUAAAUCCCCGACGAAAUUUUCGAUACAAUCGAUACGCAGGAGAAGUCAGUCACUCGCGACGGGGGCAAGUUACAAUCGCUUAAACGUAAGAUUUGUAAAUUAAACUCAUUAAUAUCGCUAGACGUUUCGUCGCGCGUGUGUGUAUGUGUGUGUGCAGAAGAAAGUAUAUGAAGCGCGCGCGUGUGUGUGUGUGUGUGUGUGCGUGUAUAUUGAUAUUAUCGCGUUCUUUGAAUGAGCCCAGCAUUUUAUGAAGCCCCUUAUAU